rnacentral:tRNA from 1 species
UCCCAGGUAUCUCAGUGGUAAAGAAUCUGCCUGCAAUGCAGGAGACCUAGGUUCGAUCCCUGGGUUAGGAU